rnacentral:rRNA from 1 species
UACGGGGGGGAGCAAGCGUUGUUCGGAUUUACUGGGCGUAAAGGGCGCGUAGGCGGCCACUGCAAGUCGGUUGUGAAAUCUCCGGGCUUAACCCGGAAAGGUCAACCGAUACUGCGAGGGCUAGAGUGCAGAAGGGGCAACUGGAAUUCUCGGUGUAGCGGUGAAAUGCGUAGAUAUCAAGAGGAACACCUGCGGCGAAGGCGGGUUGCUGGGCUGACACUGACGCUGAUGCGCGAAAGCUAGGGGAGCGAACGGG